AUUGAACGCUGGCGGCAUGCUUUACACAUGCAAGUCGAACGGCAGCGCGGGCUUCGGCCUGGCGGCGAGUGGCGAACGGGUGAGUAAUGCAUCGGAACGUGCCCAGUAGUGGGGGAUAGCCCGGCGAAAGCCGGAUUAAUACCGCAUACGACCUGAGGGUGAAAGCGGGGGACCGAAAGGCCUCGCGCUAUUGGAGCGGCCGAUGUCGGAUUAGCUAGUUGGUGGGGUAAAGGCUUACCAAGGCGACGAUCCGUAGCUGGUCUGAGAGGACGACCGGCCACACUGGGACUGAGACACGGCCCAGACUCCUACGGGAGGCAGCAGUGGGGAAUUUUGGACAAUGGGGGCAACCCUGAUCCAGCCAUGCCGCGUGCGGGAAGAAGGCCUUCGGGUUGUAAACCGCUUUUGUUCGGGAAGAAAUCCUCUGGGCUAAUACCCCGGGGGGAUGACGGUACCGGACGAAUAAGCACCGGCUAACUACGUG
rnacentral:rRNA from 1 species